AACGAGAAAAGAGAACCAACACAAUAGAAAACGCUCUACAUUUCACUGCCUCUGUCCAAAGUGAGAUGUCUGCUUUGUUUUUCUUAUCUGAAUCUUUCUUUUUGUCUUUUUUCCCUUUCUUUUUCC
rnacentral:ribozyme from 13 species